rnacentral:rRNA from 1 species
GUGGUAUCCUGUCUGAAUAUGGGGGGACCAUCCUCCAAGGCUAAAUACUCCUGACUGACCGAUAGUGAACCAGUACCGUGAGGGAAAGGCGAAAAGAACCCCGGCGAGGGGAGUGAAAAAGAACCUGAAACCGUGUACGUACAAGCAGUGGGAGCCUCUUUUAUGGGGUGACUGCGUACCUUUUGUAUAAUGGGUCAGCGACUUAUAUUCUGUAGCAAGGUUAACCGAAUAGGGGAGCCGAAGGGAAACCGAGUCUUAACUGGGCGUUAAGUUGCAGGGUAUAGACCCGAAACCCGGUGAUCUAGCCAUGGGCAGGUUGAAGGUUGGGUAACACUAACUGGAGGACCGAACCGACUAAUGUUGAAAAAUUAGCGGAUGACUUGUGGCUGGGGGUGAAAGGCCAAUCAAACCGGGAGAUAGCUGGUUCUCCCCGAAAGCUAUUUAGGUAGCGCCUCGUGAAUUCAUCUCCGGGGGUAGAGCACUGUUUCGGCAAGGGGGUCAUCCCGACUUACCAACCCGAUGCAAACUGCGAAUACCGGAGAAUGUUAUCACGGGAGACACACGGCGGGUGCUAACGUCCGUCGUGAAGAGGGAAACAACCCAGACCGCCAGCUAAGGUCCCAAAGUCAUGGUUAAGUGGGAAACGAUGUGGGAAGGCCCAGACAGCCAGGAUGUUGGCUUAGAAGCAGCCAUCAUUUAAAGAAAGCGUAAUAGCUCACUGGUCGAGUCGGCCUGCGCGGAAGAUGUAACGGGGCUAAACCAUGCACCGAAGCUGCGGCAGCGACACUAUGUGUUGUUGGGUAGGGGAGCGUUCUGUAAGCCUGUGAAGGUGGCCUGUGAGGGUUGCUGGAGGUAUCAGAAGUGCGAAUGCUGACAUAAGUAACGAUAAAGCGGGUGAAAAGCCCGCUCGCCGGAAGACCAAGGGUUCCUGUCCAACGUUAAUCGGGGCAGGGUGAGUCGACCCCUAAGGCGAGGCCGAAAGGCGUAGUCGAUGGGAAACAGGUUAAUAUUCCUGUACUUGGUGUUACUGCGAAGGGGGGACGGAGAAGGCUAUGUUGGCCGGGCGACGGUUGUCCCGGUUUAAGCGUGUAGGCUGGUUUUCCAGGCAAAUCCGGAAAACCAAGGCUGAGGCGUGAUGACGAGGCACUACGGUGCUGAAGUGACAAAUGCCCUGCUUCCAGGAAAAGCCUCUAAGCAUCAGGUAACAUCAAAUCGUACCCCAAACCGACACAGGUGGUCAGGUAGAGAAUACCAAGGCGCUUGAGAGAACUCGGGUGAAGGAACUAGGCAAAAUGGUGCCGUAACUUCGGGAGAAGGCACGCUGAUAUGUAGGUGAAGCGACUUGCUCGUGGAGCUGAAAUCAGUCGAAGAUACCAGCUGGCUGCAACUGUUUAUUAAAAACACAGCACUGUGCAAACACGAAAGUGGACGUAUACGGUGUGACGCCUGCCC